AGUGAACGCUGGCGGCAGGCCUAACACAUGCAAGUCGAGCGGCAGCGCGUCCGACCACCCUCGGGUGGUCGGAUGGCGGCGAGCGGCGGACGGGUGAGGAAUGCAUCGGAAUCUGCCUCGUUGUGGGGGGAUAACGUAGGGAAACUUACGCUAAUACCGCAUACGUCCUGAGGGAGAAAGCGGGGGACCGAAAGGCCUCGCGCGAUUGGAGCGGCCGAUGUCGGAUUAGCUAGUUGGUGGGGUAAAGGCCUACCAAGGCGACGAUCCGUAGCGGGUCUGAGAGGAUGAUCCGCCACACUGGGACUGAGACACGGCCCAGACUCCUACGGGAGGCAGCAGUGGGGAAUUUUCCACAAUGGGCGAAAGCCUGAUGGAGCAACGCCGCGUGCAGGAUGAAUGCCUUUGGGUUGUAAACUGCUUUUAUCUGUGACGAUUUUGACGGUAGCAGAUGAAUAAGGAUCGGCUAACUCCGUGCCAGCAGCCGCGGUAAGGUCGUC
rnacentral:rRNA from 1 species